AGUUGAAUUUUAUGUACAUUGUUUAUGUAUGAACUUAGUUACAUUAUGUACUUUAUUACUUUAUAUAUCAAAAAGAUUAUAAUCAAAUGAAUAUAAUGUAGUUGUAUUGGCAUGAAGUUGAUGAUGAUGUUGAUUUUGUUUGAAUUCAUGUAGAAAUGGCAUCAUUUCGUGUCACUAUAGUAUGUUUUUGGAAUGGUUCUAUUCGAGAAAGUAGUGGCAAAAUUCAUUAUGUUGGGGGUAGAUGUACGUUGUUUGCAUGCAACUCAAACAUGGAUUUGAAUCAUUUUAAACGUUUUAUAUGUUCUAAGAUUGGAUUGGACCCCACUAGAAGUACUGUAAAUAUAAACUUUAAAUAUGACAUGAGUGGAGAAUUACUAGCCUUUCCGGUUGAAGAAGAUGAGGCGAUAGAUGCUAUGUGGGAGCAUUCAAAGUCUACCCAAAUACCCUCUUUGGAGUUAUACGUAGAAGAAGUACUCUUAGGGAAUGUAGGUUCUUCUAAUCCUUGUCCUACGUCUAUGCCCAUAUCAAUUCAUGAAACUCAAAAUCCCUUUGUUCCUUCCCCAUCAUGUACUCCUUCCCGACCCCCUCCGAAUCAAGUUUCAAGUGAUACAGUGAUUAACUUAGGAGAAAGUGAUGAAACGCGAGCUUGGGAUGAUGGUAAUGACUCAUUGAAGAUCCUUCUGAGAAUGAUGUGGAUGUCGAUGAGGAUGCCUUAGCAAAUGAUAUGACCUUAGCCAACAUUCCUACAAUUUUUGCUCCCACACCCUAUGCCCUAUGUCCACCUCUAGACGAGUAUGAGGAGGAAAAUUCCUAGAGGACUUGGGCCUGUGAUACCACUUACACCAAAGAAGGGGAGUUGGAGAAGGGUAUGAUGUCCGAUAGUAAGGAAGCUUUGUUGGAAGCUAUAAGAGUGUAUCAUAUUCGUAGAAAUAUGGAGUAUAAAACGGAGACUUCAAACUAAACCGUCCUUGCCUUGAAGUGUAAGCGGGGCUGUUCGUAUUCAUCUUCUUGGCGUAUUGUUACGUACAAUGGUAACAUGGGUCUUGGGUUUUGGGUAGUGACAUUGUCUUUGUUGGACAUAUUUACUUGACAUCUUCUAUCAUUAACAAUGUGAUAAGAAACUGUGUUGCCAAAGACCUAUCAAUUAAGGUAUCUGUCGUUAGGUAGAUGGUUAACGAUUGUUUUGGUAUAGAAAUAAAUUAUAAGCGAGCUUGGUGUGCUAAGCAACAAGCCUUGUUGUCCAUAUAUGGAACUUGGGAAGGUUCUUACUCUCUCCUUUCACGCUUUUUAAAAGCUUUGCAACAUUCCAACCCGGGCUUAGUAGUUGAGUGAUUUUUUAAGGAAGACAAUGACAUAGGUGUAUAUGUGCGACCUAAUAUUAGGACCUUCUAACGUGUCUUUUGGGCCUUUAAAUCUCUUAUCACCAUUGACGGCACACACUUGUAUGGUAAGUAUCGUCGUACCUUAUUGACUGUCGUUGCCCAAGAUGGUGAUAAGGGAAUAUUUACAUUAGCGUUUUCCUUGGUUGAGAAGGAGUGUAUAGGUGCAUGGUCUUGGUUCAUGGCUUGUAUUCGUAAACAUGUCUCACAGAGGAUGGGUUUAUGCGUUCUUUCUAAUAGACACGCGGGUAUUUUAGCAACCAUGGAAGAGCCAGAGUGGCAACCACCCUAUGCCCAUCAUAGGUUUUGCUUACGUCACUUGCUUAGCAACUUUAAUCGUGCUAUGGGUAAUGUUCAACUGAAGAAGUUGUUUGGUAGAACUGCUGGGCAAAGACAACAAGCUAAGUUAAGAAUGGCUUGAAGACAAUCGGGACUGCAAAACGAGAGGCAAUUUUCUGGAUUGAUGACGUGGGUGAGAUGUCUAAGUGGUCGUUGUGUCGUGAUGGAGGUCAUAGGUAUGGUGCUAGCUAAAGUUUUCAACUAUGUGAUGAAGGGUGUACGUUUGUUACCUUUGACAACACUAGUUGAAUUCACCUUCUAGCGGGCAAACGAUUAUUUCGUUCAAAGACGUGAACGUGCUAAUGCAUGGUUACUUGGAGGACACAUGUGAACGUGCUGAUGAGGGCAGCAUUUCGAGGUACGCCUUGGCGUACCUCUUAUAUUUGAUAGGAGCUGUCUUGUUUGCUGAUAAAAUAAACAUCCAAGUUUAGCUCCUAUAUUUGACAUUACUUGACGACCCCUAGGAGCGCAUCAUCGAGUAUAGUUGGGGCUCCGCGGCCCUAGGAUACUUGUACAGAAGGCUCUGUGGUGCUGCCAAGAAGAAUGUAAAGGAUAUUGUAAGACCCUAUUACAGGUAACAACAAUAACAUUUGAUUCUACUUUAUACUUGUUAAAUUACAUACUAAUUACAUUUGCUUUUGUUACUUGUGGGCGUGGGAGCAUAUUUUGAUCGGCCAACCUUGCAGAAGUGUUGAUCAUGGUGAAGCUGCUCCUCUGCAACAACCUCCACCUGAUGUUGCAUAUGGAUCACAGUGGAAUUUUGCGCGCCGAACGCGCAAUCACACACGGACCUAUCUAGGAUUCUACCGGGAUCAAUUAGACCUGCUGUGACCUAAUCAGUUUUUGUGGGACCCGUACCCUGCCAAAGCCUACGCAGCUAUGCCCGAGCACUCGGAGAUUUAGUUAGGUGCGUGGAGAGCUUAUGUGCCACUCAUAUGCUUUGACAUUGUCGAAGUAAAUCUAUCGGAGCGCGUACUACGCCAAUAUGAGUUGGUACAGGGCAUUCCACUACCUUGCGACACUAAACCCAACUUGCACCUGAUUUCGUGCAAGGAUCAGGGUACGAUGAAUUGGACGGAGAUCAACGGGCGCCACAUCGCUCGUUGGGAUCACAGACUGGAGCUACUAGCCCACGAUGCGCCAAUCGAUGUUGUUGGCGCGCCUACUACACGUGACUACAUGCCGUGGUUCUUCUCCAUCACUCGCCGAUGGAUAACACCACGUGGCAUCAUUACACCGACCCAUUAUGCUCCUGCAGCGCCUACGAUAACCUAAUUUGUGUGGCAGCCGUGAUCCGGUCUAGCCACGAGGAGCCAGUGAGGGAAAUUGCACAAGGCAUGCUCCUCAGCUAGCAGUUCCAACACUUCAUACCGGAAGUCGCAGCGGAGUCAUCAUCGGCUAUCGCCUAUGUGCACGUCUCAUCUCCUCCUUAUGACGUUCAUUUGUAUGAGAUGGACUUGUCAUACCCCAGUGACGUUGAGAGGACCUCGCAAGCUGGGCCAUCCCAACCAUCAAAAUACCAGUCCCCUCCCCUAUCAGAGCGACACACGAACGCUUCUUACUACUGUAGGAGGCGUAGGGGACCAAAUCAGUUGGAUAGGGUAGAUGAGGAUGAUGAUCGUUAGCUUUAGGUUUUUGUGUAUUUUGAUUGACUAUGUAUAUAUAUGUUUAUUUAGUUGUAUAUUUCAAACAUUUGUAUAUAUUUAGAAGCAUUAAAAAAAUCAACAA